rnacentral:misc_RNA from 1 species
AAAUUUACCAUACAAGAUUCAUCUUUUCUUCAAAUCUACUGAUCUUCAGGCACUUUGUAUAAGUCAGCUGUAAUUUCCGUUAACCAUAACCCCGGAAAUAGCGUGUCCAAAUUUUUUUGAACCAAUCUAGCUCGUUUUUUGGGUCUACGAGGGGGUCUAUGUCCGAUCAUCGCCGUGAAAUCUUCUUCGAUCUCUUUUCGCGACAGGGAAACGGAAUAUUUCACCCUCUGUUUCUUCUCGCCGCUACAAGAAGCUCCGGCGAUUACUCCACCGGAAAAUUCACUUCGAAAUCUUGAAGAUUUGUUAUUCUCCGUCUUUAAUGGUGGCAAACAGUUCAUUUCCUUCGAUCCACCACUUCCGCCAGCUCCGGCGCCGGCGAGUACACCGUUCGGUUCGUUACAAGCCGCUCGCCGAGUCCUCAAGCUCCAUGGUCUGGAUAAGUCGCCGACGGCGGCUGCAUCAGAUACAUCUACCUUCACAUUCAUCGUCAUCGUCGCCGGCGCCGGCGACGGAGAAUCUAAUCCUUCCCUUAAAAUCGCGUCUUUCAUCUUAUCAGUUUCCGUUUGAAGAUCAAUCAUCAGUUUCUCUCUAACAGCUUCAAUUCCCUCACCACUAUCUCCGUUCACCGAUCUGAAUUUCGUCCGGUGCCGUUCCACCACCCCUGUUUCCCUACGCCGUCCGAUCAAUUCCGACCUUGACAUUUCUUCAUCGGAAUCCUCCUUAACGCACCUUAAAAACUUCUGAUUCCCCCACUUCAACCCACAUGGCAAAGAAAAAUUAUGUAAAGGCUUCGAUCUUUCAGGUCCCAUCGCCAUAUAAACACCUUCAAAUCUUCAAUAUCAGUUUAAAAACCAUCAAAAUCAAAACACCCACAUGCUCAAAAAAACAAAUCUCUCUUCCUUUUUCUCUUAUUAUUCUCUACUCUGCUCAACAACAAAGCAAAUGGGAUUCAUAUUCUUCAAAAAAAAAUUCAAGAUUUGAACUUUUUUCUUCUUUAUGUGUUGUGUUAAGUUGAGUUAACGAUGAAAUCGCCGGCAAUAUAAAGUAUAUAUACAUAUAUAUUAUAUAUCGGUCACCAGAGAAGAAAGAGGGAGAGAGAAGAG